ensembl:lncRNA
AACAAACACAUUAAAGAAUUCAAGAGAGGUACUUGCCCUGGUGAUCCAAUGGCUAAGACUCUGAGCUCCCAAUGCAGGGGCCUGGGGUUCGAUCCCUGGUCAGCUACUACAGAUCUCGAGUGCCCCAACUAAGACCCCAACUCAGCAAAAUUAAAAAAAAAAAAAAGAAUUAAAGACAAGCAAAACACAAACUGCAUACAUAAAGGCUAGCAUCCAAAGAAACAAAUGAACUGGUUCACAAAUUAGGCAGAAGUCCAACUCUUUCCUCUCUCCAACAGGGUAUCCCACUCAAAGACAAAACAAAUUGGCUUAUUCCAGAGAAAAAGCCCCAAAAGGAGAAGAAAUAGAGUUCCCAACUGUACGCGCCCUCAGAGAGACUUACGGUUACUGUUUGGAGCCUGUCUGCUCCCAAAUAUUGAUUCCUUGUUCCAACUGCCCAGCGCUGGAACAACCAGUGCGGCUUUGGGGAGUUUUGAAGGAAGAGCCUCAGGACAAGUGGUCUUGCCAGCUGCUAGGGCCUUACCCCCAAAUCCCCCAACCGUCAGCUCGCCAUGAGUGGCAAGGUAAGGCAGGCCAAUAAAUGGAGAGAGGAGUUGCUAGGACAAGGAACAGCGACUUCAUUCAGAAAGCCACCAAACCAAGAUGAUGGUGGACUCGAAAGAUCCACCUUACCUGCGCUAGAAUUCAGGCUUCUUUUAUACUAAAAGGGGAGGGCGUGUAGCUAAACAUUUCCGGUUCCGGUUAGCCUUCAGAAGGGGCUGUGCUAAUUUCUUCUGCCUACACUCCUGCACAUGUGGGCCUGGUCAGGAGACUUCUUGUGAGCUAACCAAAGUAUUUCAGCUUAAUGCUCAUUACCUGGGAGGCAGGGUUCCCAGAGAUGGGCCAUUGUGUAUAAUUUAAGCUUAUAGGCAACAUCCUUGAGGUGAUUAACUUGCAAUAGGGUACACAGGUUCUGCCCUAUUACAUCAGAUCUUAAUUUAAUUUGCUAUUUGACCUGUUCAGAAUGACUGAAUUAUCAGAAACUUCAUGGAUGAACAUUAGGACGCAGCAGCUGUUGGAAACGCAGCGUCAGCAGUCCCUGUCAGGUUAUGCCCAGUCCCUAACACCGCCCUCUCCCAGACCCCAUCACAGCCGGCCACUUAGCUCUGCAGCCCGACCUGCUCACGUGGUGCUCAGCGCCCGUGCGCGGCCUGGUCUCUCAACACAGUGCCACCCGCUUCCCCUACAGCCUCCUAGACCCACCCUUCCUCGAGGCCAAGUGUCAAUAACCAGGAUCCUCGCCGGGAAACCUUGGGUUCCAGCUAUUCCCCCAGAGGCCUCCAUUAGGGGGCUUUGCACCCAGCGGCGUCCGCAGCGCCCUCCGGGAUAGCGAGCACCCCAGGGCUCCCUCACCCUGGGCUGUACACAUCCCCGCCACCAACAGGGCUCAGGGGCCAGGGCAGGAUCCCUGGUGGAGGGCGAGAUGGCGGGAUGAGUGCACCUCCUGGGUAACCGGACUCGUAGCGCUAGAGAGUUUCUGACCCGGGACACCGAAGUUCCCGCCGGGGCGCUUGCCUUACUUGAACCAUCCACGCCUCUCUGGUCUUCUUCCGCCUGAUGGUCUGGUUAUCAAUCAACAAACACUGCGGCUUAUUGGACCCCCGGCGCUGAGUAGGGGAGACCCUGGGCCGCGAGAUUCUUCCUACUCUUGUAAAGUCUUAUUUUUGUAGAGUGCUUACAAAGCGUUUGCACAGUCGUAAUCUCGUGAAACACUUCUUGGUGUUCCUGGCCCGGUGCUGCGUGCUAUGAUCACAGAGAUAUCCCCAGCCUCAAUCAGUUGGAGUGGGGGCCCACAAGCAUAAUGAUUUGAAAACAUACAACACACGUACACUAUUCCGGCCUCACCACAAACCCUCGAUCUAGCCUGGUGCCCAGCCCCUUUUGACGCCCCAAGUUUCCGCCGCUGCUCGGAGCUCGGCGGCUGAAACCACCCUUCUUAGAAGCGCCCACAGCACUGGAAACGACACCUCGAGCCGCAGCCUCGGCAUCUUGGAAGCCCUCUCCUCUCCUUUACCCCGAGCCCUUUAUGUUAAUUAUCAGCUUAUUUA